rnacentral:rRNA from 1 species
UACGUAGGGUGCGAGCGUUAAUCGGAAUUACUGGGCGUAAAGCGUGCGCAGGCGGUUGGUUGUGUCUGAUGUGAAAGCCCCGGGCUCAACCUGGGAAUGGCAUUGGAAACUGGCCAGCUGGAGUGUGGCAGAGGGGGGUGGAAUUCCGCGUGUAGCAGUGAGAUGCGUAGAGAUGCGGAGGAACACCGAUGGCGAAGACAGCCCCCUGGGCCAACACUGACGCUCAGGCACGAAAGCGUGGGGAGCAAACAGG